rnacentral:rRNA from 1 species
UACGAAGGGGGCUAGCGUUGCUCGGAAUCACUGGGCGUAAAGGGUGCGUAGGCGGUCGGGUAAGUCUGACGUGAAAUCUUACAAGCUUAACUUGGAAACUGCGUCGGAUACUAUUCGGCUGGAGGAAUGGAGGGGAGACUGGAAUACUUGGUGUGAGCAGUGAAAUGCGUAGAUAUCAAGUGGAACACCAGUGGCGAAGGCGAGUCUCUGGACAUUUCCUGACGCUGAGGCACGAAAGCCAGGGGAGCAAACGGG